rnacentral:rRNA from 1 species
GACGAACGCUGGCGGCGUGCUUAACACAUGCAAGUCGAACGGAAAGGCCCUGCUUUUGUGGGGUGCUCGAGUGGCGAACGGGUGAGUAACACGUGAGUAACCUGCCCUUGACUUUGGGAUAACUUCAGGAAACUGGGGCUAAUACCGGAUAGGAGCUCCUGCUGCAUGGUGGGGGUUGGAAAGUUUCGGCGGUUGGGGAUGGACUCGCGGCUUAUCAGCUUGUUGGUGGGGUAGUGGCUUACCAAGGCUUUGACGGGUAGCCGGCCUGAGAGGGUGACCGGCCACAUUGGGACUGAGAUACGGACCAGACUCCUACGGGAGGCAGCAGUGGGGAAUAUUGCAGAAUGGGCGGAAGCCUGAUGCAGCAACGCCGCGUGCGGGAUGACGGCUUUCGGGUUGUAAACCGCUUUCGCCUGUGACGAAGCGUGAGUGACGGUAAUGGGUAAAGAAGCACCGGCUAACUACGUG